GUGGGGAAUCUUCCGCAAUGGACGAAAGUCUGACGGAGCAACGCCGCGUGAGUGAUGAAGGUCUUCGGAUUGUAAAGCUCUGUUAAUCGGGACGAAAGAGCCUAGUGUGAAUAAUGCUAGGAAGUGACGGUACCGGAAUAGAAAGCCACGGCUAACUACGUGCCAGCAGCCGCGGUAAUACGUAGGUGGCAAGCGUUGUCCGGAAUUAUUGGGCGUAAAGCGCGCGCAGGCGGAUCUGCCAGUCUGUCUUAAAAGUUCGGGGCUUAACCCCGUGAGGGGACCGAAACUGUAGGACUAGAGUAUCGGAGAGGAAAGCGGAAUUCCUAGUGUAGCGGUGAAAUGCGUAGAUAUUAGGAGGAACACCAGUGGCGAAAGCGGCUUUCUGGACGAUAACUGACGCUGAGGCGCGAAAGCCAGGGGAGCGAACGGGAUUAGAAACCCUUGUAGUCC
rnacentral:rRNA from 1 species